CUUUAAAGUCCAUGCUUCGUGUAUACUGUCUUGAUACAGGAAAAGACUGGGGAGAGGGAUUGCCAUUACUCAUGUUUGCAAUUAGAGAGACCGUUCAAGAGUCACUGGGUUUCAGUCCUGCGGAACUCGUUUUUGGCCAUACAGUUCGGGGACCAUUGAAGUUGUUGAGUGAGCAGUUGCUGUCUAAGACCACUCCACCCAUGUCAGUUUUAGACUAUGUCAGUUCUUUUCGGGAACGUCUCCACAGGGCAUGUGAAGUUGCAAAACAGCAUCUUGUUAAAACACAGGCUAAAAUGAAAGCUCAUUAUGAUAAGCCAAGUGUAGUGCGUAAUUUUCAACCUGGUGAAAAAGUGCUUGUCCUUCUUCCUGUUCCUGGCUCAGCUUUGCAAGCCAAAUUUUCGGGCCCCUAUGUUGUUGAGCGAAAGCUUGGUGACACAGACUAUGUGAUUAGUACCCCAGACCGUAAGAGAAAAACCCGGUUGUGUCACAUAAAUAUGUUGAAAGCCUACGUGACCAGGUCGGUAUCUCCAGAGUCAAUACCAAAACCUGUAUCGGUUUUGUCCACUAGUGUCAGGCAAGUGGUAUAUAAUCCUGUAAAUGAUGGCUUGGCCAAUAGUGAUGUUCAUGGCCUGACAAUGCGCUUAAAUAAUUCCUCCAUUUUGAGUGAUUUGAAAUCAUAUCUCUGGUAUCUUCCUAAAGAACAAUGUGAGGACAUUGUAAAUCUGGUCCACAAGUAUUCUACUUUAUUUUCUGAUGUGCCAACGCAGACUACAGUGUUGAAACACGAUAUCGAUGUGGGCGAGUGUAGGCCAAUCAAGCAACACCCAUAUCGGCUCAACCCAAUGAAGCGUGAAUUAAUGAGAAAGGAAGUAGAAUAUUUGUUAAAUCAUGGUUUGGCCUUUCCCAGUCAAAGCCCAUGGAGUUCACCCUGUAUUUUAGUUCCAAAACCUGACUCAACUGUAAGAUUUUGUACUGACUACCGUAGGGUUAAUAAUAUAACAAAACCAGAUUCCUUCCCCCUGCCACAUGGAGGAUUGGGUAGAUCGAGUAGGCUCUGCUCGUUACAUUACCAAGCUUGAUCUCCUAAAGGGGUAUUGGCAGGUACCCUUGACCCCA
rnacentral:lncRNA from 1 species